GCCGGGUGCAGCCUCUGUAUACCCUACGACUUGCGCGUUCUUCUUCAUCGUCGCAUGUGAUUUUGUCAAAUGGCAGAUCAGCACAUUUCCAGUUCACAUCAAUCAUGGUGAAUUCGACACUCUUCUUUGGUCCGUAAUCGGAACCUCCUUUCCUUUUUACACUUACUACAGCAAACAAACUCAUCGCGAUGACAAACUCGUCCAUUACAGGAUC
rnacentral:misc_RNA from 1 species